CUCACUUAUCUCUCUCAAUUGAUCGAGCACUCAUAUGUUCUUCUCUCAAAGGCCAAGAUUGGUGGUUUUUAGUCCAAAAAUAGAAGAACAGAUGCGGGAAUUGCUAAACGUGAAGGAGACCUCUGAGGAAUUGCUAAAAAACGAAGGCCCACCUCCUGUCUAUCUCCUAAGAAUUGCAAAACUUGAAGGGGCUUAGGUUUUAUUGCUGUAAGAAAACCUCAGAGCAACUUCAAUGCUUCAUCCACUUGCUUCAAAUACUGUUAGAUCAAUAUUUUGGUGCCAUUUUCUUAGCUACUCUGAAUCUGUUGAGGGCGUUUGCAACUGGAGGAUAUGCUGCUAUGCAGAGGAUUACUCGGUGGAACCUAGAUUUCACAGAGCACAGCGAACAAGGUGAUAGAUACCGUGAACUAGCUCACCAUGUAGACGAGGCUCUUGGAUUUAUGGCUGCUGCUGGACUUACAAUUGACCAUCCAAUCAUGACGACCACCGAGUUCUGGACAUCGCAUGAGUGCUUGCUACCAAUAUCCCUGCUGCAGAAAUGGCUGCAGUAGUUGUAUCUGGGGGAAUUAGUAAUGCAUUAGGCGGGAAGCCAAAUAAAACUGUUGAUAAGGCGAUGCUAUUAAGAGGGGAGAAGUGUCCAAGGAUUGUUUUCCGGCUUAUGAUUCUCUAUCUUUGUAAAUCCUCACUUGAAAGGGCAUCUCGAUGUGUCCAGCAGUUUAUUCCUCUUCUUCCUAGUCUUCUGACAGCUGAUGAUGAGCAAAGCAAGAACAGAGUGCAACUUUUCAUAUGGUACAGUUUGAUGCCUCAUAGAUUUAGAUUGGUCAACAAACAAUGCUCUCUAUCACUUGAACUUGCAUUUAUCAUCGCUGAGCGACUGAGAAAGAGGCGGCUUGGAUCCCAAAAGUCAGUAGCAUUUUAGGUAUUCUAGAAUGAUUUUGAGGGCGUCAAUUAUGUCUGUACCAUUCUGCAGCAUAUGUUUCUCUGUAUCAAUUUAUUCAACAUGUUUGUUUCUCUAUUUAUAAGUAUACCAUGUAUUACUCUGUCAA